AGGACGAACGCUGGCGGCGUGCUUAACACAUGCAAGUCGAGCGGUAAGGCCCUUUCGGGGGUACACGAGCGGCGAACGGGUGAGUAACACGUGAGCAAUCUGCCCUUCACUUCGGGAUAAGCCUCGGAAACGGGGUCUAAUACCGGAUAUGACCGCGCUACGCAUGUGGUGUGGUGGAAAGUUCUGGCGGUGGAGGAUGAGCUCGCGGCCUAUCAGCUUGUUGGUGGGGUAAUGGCCUACCAAGGCUUCGACGGGUAGCCGGCCUGAGAGGGUGACCGGCCACGACUGGGACUGAGACACGGCCCAGGACUCCUACGGGAGGCAGCAGUAGGGAAUAUGGACAAUGGGCAAAGCCUGAUCCAGCAAUGCCGCGUGAGUGAUGAAGGCCUUAGGGUUGUAAAGCUCUUUUACCGAGAUGAUAAUGACAGUAUCGGAGAACAAGCCCGCUAACUCCGUGCCAGCAGCCGC
rnacentral:rRNA from 1 species